GCUUCUUGGUAGCUUAGUUGGUAGAGCAUCCGCCUUUGAAGGGAAGGUCGCCAGUUCGAUUACAGCUCAGCG